ensembl:lncRNA
CAAGUUCUGUUCUGUCUGUGUGUGUGUUCAGGUUCUCUACAGAGGCUCUUCAGCAGCUGGUUUCAGUGGUGUAUGAAGCACAGGAUGAUGAGCUGACAUACUGCUUUCUGAAGAAGGUUUCUGAGGAUCUGACUUCCUGCUCACUGACCUGGGAAGUGAUUCAUUACCUGCUGCAACAUCAAGCUCUAAACUUGAAGUUGGACUUGAGAAAGAGCAAAAUCUCUUGUGAAAACAUCAGAGAACUUCUGCCGGUGUUGGGCAGAAUCCAGCUGAAACGGAUGAGCUCCAGCUUUAUUCUGUCCAUCAUUAUGGAGAUUUACGAGACUCGUUUUCCUCAGUAUGUGUCCAGUCUGUUGAGUUCAACAGGAAACAACAUCAACCUGAAUGGCAGAGUGUUGGACUCUGUUCACUGCGCUGCCCUGCGCUUCACUCUGCAGCACUCCGACACAGUCAAACUCAAUCUGCUCUGGACCUCCAUACCAGAGGAGGAGCUAGAGAGCUUGCUGCCUUUACUCUGCAGAGUCACACAGCUCAGUGUUGACAGGUUGCUGUUGCUGAAGCUGCUGCACUGCUGCAGUUCCUCUGAUCUCCAGCAGGAGGCAGCAGAUGUUCUUCUCUCUGCUCUUCACCACAGACUGGACUUCUCCUGCUGCUCUGCUCUGGAUUUAACAGACACACACAAUCAAGAACAUUUUAAACUAGCUGUAAAAGACUGUAGAAUAAUCUCAUCUGUGCUUCAGAAAACACAAAGCACUGUGAAGUUGAUCUUACAGGACUGUGAGCUCUCUGAGGAGGCCCUGAAACAACUUUGGCCAAUCCUGCCUCAAGUCCAGCUGAGCUGUAGUAAAGCGCUGCUGCUGCAGUUUCUGGCUUGUAUUAGUACAGAUGGAUCUCAGAGAGGCUUUUUGAGGAGUGCUGAUGCUCUUUCACAGGCUUUGGGAGGAGAGAUGGACCUCAGUCACACUCAGAUGGACCAGAGAGCUUGUGAACAGCUGGCACUGUUUCUGGAAUAUUCUGAAGGACUGAAAGAACUGGAUCUCAGUCACUGCAAACUCACUGAUCUCUGCGUGGAGCCGCUGCUGCCACAUCUGCACAAAACCCAGACUCUGGACCUGAGUCACAAUAAUAUCACGGAUGAAUCUGCAAAGAGCAUCCACAGUGUCGUCUGCGCUCACAGCAAUAUUCAGACUGUACGACUCUUCGGAAACAAAAUCAGUGAUAAAAAGCAGUUCAUCAGAGACAAGCGAUUUGAAAUAUGGUGAAGAUCCUGGGCCGGAACCUGACUGAUUUCUCAUUAAGAUGAUAUUUUGUAUUAGGCUUGAUUCAUGAUGAAACAAAAUGAAAUUUUAUCUUUAAUGCAGCACCAGCCUGGUUAAUUAAAACCAGAUUUAUUUAAAUGAAAUGUUUAUUAUAUUACAAAGUGAUGAUAAUGAUUUUUAUGUUGCAAUGUAUUAUGCAAGACUUAUUUCUUGGGAAUGUAAUACUAGUAUCUUCACUGGCUACCGUUCACCGCUCACACCAAGUUCAUUAAGGUUGCUCACCCUCUUACAAACUGACCUCCACUCCUGCUAUUAGUGGGUGAGCAACACCUCAUGCUACUGUAACAGAGGCACAGUGUCAUUUUCCUUAACUUUCACAUUCACCGGUGGUGGAAUGAUCUUCCCAGUCUUUCCUGGACAGCCAAAUGCAGUAUUCAAGAAAUGGCAAAAAAAAACAAUUUUUUUCAUGAGCACUUAACUGUGGAUGUUGUCUGGAAAAAAAAAAAGAUUUCUAUGCUUUUGCUUCUAGACAAUAGCUGCUCCUGAUUUUUAAGUCGCUUUGGUUAAAAGCAUCAGCUACAUGAAUUAAAGUAAACACAGCUCCAGAACUCAAGUCUUUUUUAAUGCACCUAAUUCAGUUGUAUGAAAGCUGUGGGUGUUAUUAUGGAUAUAUUUUUAUUAUUAUUAUGGUUAUUGUUUUUAUACAGCAAAUGUAAAUUUGCAACGCAAAGAAACCUUUUUUUAUCUCUUUAUAUUUUUUUAUCUCUCGAAGCAGUGUGCAUGUAUAAGGUUUUUCAUGUCGUGAUGUUGUGAAGCAGUAAUUUACAUUUGCUUUGCUUUGACCAGAUCUAAUUCAACAAAUGUUAUUAUACCAUAGUAAGUCAAACUGAGUUUUGAGAAAGGCACAACAAUGAUUAUUAAAUAAACUGCUGAAUUUUUACCA